CCACAAGAGUCUCUGGUGAGGAAGGCCAUUGUGAUUGAGAAGGAUUCAUCUGCAGUCUUUCUGGCAAUACUGCAUGACUUUUGAAGGUGUAUUGUGUAGAGGGCAGUUUCGAUUCGAUUCGUUGUAACAGUUGUGCUAUGACUACCUUGCUGUCGUGGAAUUUCUUCAGGAAGGGUCAGUGGAAGUUGUCCAUAAAUCUUGGAUAAGGAAAAAACAAGGGGAACCAUUAAGGUGUUUCUGGCCCAAAAAGAAUGCCUCAACAGGGGUUCGUAAAGGGAGAUUCCAGAUGAAGAAAAGUGGACCAGCUACGAGAUACGGGUGUUCA